UAUUUAGUUCAUUACGCACUGUCGCACUGAUGUAUAGGAUUCCCUCCUCUAGAUUUUAAUCCAAAAUCGUAGCCCAACAAAAACUAAACGACGCGUUUGACAAUUGUCAUGUCCCUUGUUAUUUCGAUACCGAAAUCGACUCCCGAUUCCGAGAGAGAGAGAGCUAGCGGAAGCGAUGGCUUUGACAGUGGCGUAGAGUGCGUUGGAGGCGAUUAGAGAGAAAGGUCUCGGCGGUUUCAUGAGGAUGAUCCGAGAAAAAGGCUUCAUAUUGUCUAUAGAAGAUAAAAGGAGUCAAGCUUUAUGACAUUUGCAAUGUCAUAUACACCAAGUCUCGUUGACCAACACAAAGAUAAGAAAUUGUUUUCUUAGAACAGGUAACUAACAUGUGUUUUACUUCAUAGGUGAAGCUUAACUUUUUUAUUAUGAAAGUGGAAGUAGCUGAUCGAUUAGUAAAGAGUCGUGUCAUCUGUCCUCAUAAGCAAUAGAGACAAAAUUUCAUUUCCAAGAGUUGUAGUAAUAUAGUUUUGAGUGUUGCUUAAUGAAAUAACUCAAAUUUA